rnacentral:rRNA from 1 species
AGAGUUUGAUCAUGGCUCAGAACGAACGCUGGCGGCAGGCCUAACACAUGCAAGUCGAGCGCACCUUCGGGUGAGCGGCGGACGGGUUAGUAACGCGUGGGAACGUGCCCAGAUCUGCGGAAUAGCCACUGGAAACGGUGAGUAAUACCGCAUACGCCCUUCGGGGGAAAGAUUUAUCGGAUUUGGAUCGGCCCGCGUUAGAUUAGGUAGUUGGUGGGGUAACGGCCUACCAAGCCUACGAUCUAUAGCUGGUUUUAGAGGAUGAUCAGCAACACUGGGACUGAGACACGGCCCAGACUCCUACGGGAGGCAGCAGUGGGGAAUCUUGGACAAUGGGCGCAAGCCUGAUCCAGCCAUGCCGCGUGAGUGAUGAAGGCCUUAGGGUCGUAAAGCUCUUUCGCCAGGGAUGAUAAUGACAGUACCUGGUAAAGAAACCCCGGCUAACUCCGUGCCAGCAGCCGCGGUAAUACGGAGGGGGUUAGCGUUGUUCGGAAUUACUGGGCGUAAAGCGCGCGUAGGCGGACCAGAAAGUUAGGGGUGAAAUCCCGGGGCUCAACCCCGGAACUGCCUCUAAAACUCCUGGUCUAGAGUUCGAGAGAGGUGAGUGGAAUUCCGAGUGUAGAGGUGAAAUUCGUAGAUAUUCGGAGGAACACCAGUGGCGAAGGCGGCUCACUGGCUC